rnacentral:rRNA from 1 species
AUUGAACGCUGGCGGCAGGCCUAACACAUGCAAGUCGAGCGAGUGGCGGACGGGUGAGUAAUGUCUGGGAAACUGCCUGAUGGAGGGGGAUAACUACUGGAAACGGUAGCUAAUACCGCAUACCAUCAGAUGUGCCCAGAUGGGAUUAGCUAGUAGGUGGGGUAACGGCUCACCUAGGCGACGAUCCCUAGCGGGUCUGAGAGGAUGACAAGCCAAACUGGAAAGGAGAAACGGUCCUGACUCCUACGGGAGGCAGCAGUGGGGUAUAUUGCACAAUGGGCGCAAGCCUGAUGCAGCCAUGCCGCGUGUGUGAAGAAGGCCUUCGGGUUGUAAAGCACUUUCAGCGAGGAGGCGUUACUCGCAGAAGAAGCACCGGCUAACUCCGUGCCAGCAGCCGCGGUAAUUC